rnacentral:rRNA from 1 species
AUUGAACGCUGGCGGCGGGCCUAACACAUGCAAGUCGAGCGGAGCGGGGGGCGGGUGAGUAAUGCCUAGGAAUCUACCUGGUAGUGGAGGAUAAGGUCAGGAAACGGGCGCUAAUACAGCAUCCUAUAAGAUGAGCAUAGUACGUAUUGGCGAGUUGGUGGGGUAAAGGCCUACCAAGGCGACGAUCCGUAACUGGUCUGAGAGGUUGAUCAGCCACACUGGAACUGAGACACGGUCCAGACUCCUACGGUAGGCAGCAGUGGGGAAUAUUGCACAAUGGACGAAAGCCUGAUCCAGCCAUGCCGCGUGUGUGAAGAAGGUCUUCGGAUUGUAAAGCACUUUAAGUUGGGAGGCGUUACCAACAGAGUAAGCACCGGCUAACUCCGUGCCAGCAGCCGCGGUAAUUC